rnacentral:tRNA from 1 species
AGAGGCUGUAGUUCCGUAAUAGAGCAUCUGCUUGGCAUGCGGAAGGCCUCAGGUUCAAUUCCCUGGCACCUCCA